CAUGCAAAUGUAAGAGAAAGUGAAAGAAAAUUACAGAUAGACUCAAACAAACACGACUGGCUGAGGAGACAGUGGCUCUGUGCACAGAGAGGGAGGGAAGCAGAGCUGGGCUGGAGGGAGGAACUCUUCACUCCUUCAAAUGAAGCUUGUCAGACAUUAGGAGAGGAGGCAGAAGAGAGUCUCAACAAGCCAAGAGCAGAAACAGAGUCAACUCAGAAAGGGGAUCUUUUUCUGUUUUUUUUUUUUCUAUAUGCCAUUGAGGUGACAAGACAGACCCUCCUUGUCUGUGGGUCAGCUGAGGAGAAAAGAUGAAGAACCAAAUCACCAGCGCCCUUUCUGACUUCUUCUUUGAGUAUGAGACCCCUCGCCAGGUGCUGGUGAGGAAUAAGAGGGUGGGACUUGUGUGCCGGUUCAUCCAGAUGGGGGUCCUGGUUUACAUCAUUGGGUGGGUCUUCAUUUAUGAGAAAGGUUACCAAUCCACAGACACAGCUGUGAGCUCUGUGUUCACCAAAAUGAAGGGAGUGGGCUACACCAACGUAAGCGGGAGGGAGACGGUGUGGGACGUGGCUGACUACGUCUUCCCCUCUCAGGGAGACUCAUCGUUCGUUGUGAUGACUAACUUCAUCAUUACCGAAGGUCAGAAGAUGGGAAAGUGUCCAGAGCUUACGGGUAAAUGCACCUCAAACGAUGACUGUACAGAGGGGAGUUACAAACGUACGGGACAUGGACAUAUGACUGGAGUCUGUGUGAACACAACAAAAACCUGUGAGGUGUUAGCGUGGUGCCCUGUUGAGAAUGACACCAUCAUACCAAAGCCUCCUCUUCUGACAUCUGCAGAAAACUACACACUUUUCAUCAAAAACUCUGUAACUUUCCCUCUAUUUGACGUCACAAGGAGUAAUUUGGUGGAGGGCAUUGAUGGGGCAUACCUCAAGAAAUGUCUUCACCAUCCGGAGAAUGAUCCACUCUGUCCUAUAUUCAAACUGGGAGACAUAGUUAAACACUCUGGCUUCAGUUUUGAAGAUUUAGCCCAGGAGGGAGGAGCUAUUGGUAUUGUGAUUGACUGGACAUGUAACUUCGAUGUUGAUGUAAAACACUGCAAACCUCAAUACAACUUUCACGGUCUCUAUGGAAACAAAGACAGCACGAAUGCAUCGCUUGGCUACAACUUCAGAUAUGCCAAGCAUUAUAUGGAGAAUAAUGAAGCCAAGAGGACCCUCCUCAAACUGUUUGGCAUCAGGUUUGAUAUCAUAGUGCAAUCACUGGCAAGAAAAUUUGAUAUAAUUCCAACACUCACAGCAAUAGGCUCAGGCGUGGGGAUUUUUGGAGUGGCGACUGUGGUCUGCGACUUGGUGCUGCUCUAUUUGCUACCAAAAAGAAAGUUUUACAAGAACAUGAAAUUCAAAUAUACAGACACUCACACACAGCUUUCAGUCCUUCUCAGCCUCAUAACAUGACACCAGGACAAUGACCUCCAGAAGAAUCAAGCAACAGCAGCAGAGAUUUCCUGCUGAAGCCUUAAAUCCUUGGCCACCUUACAACAUGACCUAAAACAGGAUCCUGAUUCAGAGGCUGGAAGCACAGAGACAGAGCAGAAGUAAAGCCAGUGGGAAGCCAUUUUCCAAAGUGAACUUCAGAGGAACCUCAUCAUGACAUGGAGGGAAACUCAAGCACAGACAUUGGAUCUUUAACAUAGACGUCCUUCCACUCCAUAAACUAAGCAGUGACUGUAAUUAUCUCCGUUUUAGAUGAAGCCAUCUAUAUACAAAUUGUAUGUGUACUUUUUUGGGUGUUACUCUGCUGUUCCUAAGAUGGGUGUAACCUUCACAACUUCAACCAUGUCUGAGAUAUGAAGAUGUGGAACUCUGUGUGUAUUCUAUGUGCACAUACAUGGCCUCACCCGGUUUACCCGUCAUUGCAAAUAAGGAGAGUAAACUUGUGUUUGCAUUUCUAACUAUAAACUGAUUCAAUGUUUAAACUGGUGAAUCAUCCCAUGGGUACAUUACAUGACAGACAGAUGGAUUAAAUAAA